GCCUUCGUAGGCCAUGGAGGUCGCCUUGCUCACAUGAUCCAAAACGGCGCGUCUGCAGGGAGGCGGGGGUUCGAUUCCCCUCGAAGGCG